UCCGAGGGGUGUCUUGACCGAGGCUAUAUAAGAGCGGAGUGAACGCAUUUCGGUUAGUUCACGUUUGUCCGUCGUUCCGGAACGGGGGCAUCUUCAAAGAUUGGAUUAUACGCAGAGAGAGAGAGAGGGAGUGAGGGAGAGGCGAGGGCCAUGAAUUUCAUUGACCCGGACAUGGACAGAAUUCCCUUCUCAAGAGCAAAUCUUAAGAGGCAGUUUGCCUUCGACCGCCUGGCCCCGGCCAUGGGAACGUGGAAUGUCCGCAGCUUUGGAGGCGGUGCCCUGCAGGAGGUUCCCACGGGCGCGGAUGACAGCGGAAGCUUGGAUGAUGAGGUGGACAACUCUACCCACGUGCCACUCCUCACCCCCGUCAGUAAAGAUGUUGUAUCACGAGCCCUUGAUGCCUCCUUCAGUGACUUCGGGCACGAGAGAGACAGGCUGGGAAUUCCUGCCGGUGAUCACUCACACACUCACUCA